CCUACGGGUGGCAGCAGUGGGGAAUAUUGGGCAAUGGAGGAAACUCUGACCCAGCAAUGCCGCGUGAAUGAAGAAGGUCUUCUGAUUGUAAAGUUCUUUAGUCAGGGGAGAAUAAUAUGACGGUUCCUCAGUCUUAAGCUCCUGCUAAAUACGUGCCAGCAGCCGCUGUAAUACGUAGGGAGCGGGCAUUGUUCGGAAUGACUGGGCGUAAAGGGUGCGUAGGCGGUUAUACAAGUUAGAAGUGCAAUACCCAGGGCUUAACUCGGGUGCUGCUUCUAAAACUGUAAGACUUGAGUGCAGUAGAGGUUAGUGGAAUUCCUAGUGUAGCGGUGGAAUGCGUAGAUAUUAGGAGGAACACCAGAGGCGAAGGCGGCUAACUGGACUGCAACUGACGCUGAUGCACGAAAGUGUGGGGAGCAAACAGGAUUAGAUACCCUUGUAGUC
rnacentral:rRNA from 1 species